rnacentral:SRP_RNA from 1 species
GCUGGGUGUGGUGGCGGGCACCUGUAAUCCCAGCUACUUGGGAGGCUGAGGCAGGAGAAUUGCUUGAACCUGGGAGGUGGAGGUUGCAGUGAGCCGAGAUCACCACUGCACUCCAGCCUGGGCGACAGAGCAAGACUCUGUCUCAA